UACGAGGGGUGCAAGCGUUGCUCGGAAUUAUUGGGCGUAAAGGGUAGGUAGGUGGUCUGAUUUGUCAGGGGUGAAAGCCUUGGGCUUAACCCAAGAAGUGCCCCUGAAACGGUCAGACUGGAGUCUUGGAGAGGGUCGUGGAAUUCCCGGUGUAGCGGUGAAAUGCGUAGAUAUCGGAAGGAACACCUGUGGCGAAAGCGGCUCACUGGACCACAACUGACGCUGAUGCACGAAAGCGUGGGGAGCAAACAGG
rnacentral:rRNA from 1 species